rnacentral:rRNA from 1 species
GCGUCCCUGUUCGGAUUGUAGGCUGAAACUCGCCUACAUGAAGCUGGAAUUGCUAGUAAUCACAGGUCAGCAUACUGUGGUGAAUACGUUCCCGGGCCUUGUACACACCGCCCGUCACACCAUGAGAGUUGAGAAUACCCGAAGCCCAUGUCAAAGUGGUCGAAGGUAGGCUUGAUGAUUGGGGUGAAGUCGUAACAAGGUAUC